AGACCUUACUUCUACAUGAUAUGUACACAUUAGAGGUUUGCUCAUUCUCUUUCUUCUUCUUUGCUUUCUUAUCCUUCCUCUUUCUCUUCUUACAGAGAUGUAUAUCAUGAUCCAUCUUAUUCACCAUCACAUUCACUUUUUUACCCUUGCCUCUAUUUUUGAGGCCUGGUGUAAAAGUUUGGUAUCUCAAUAUUAAAAUCCUCAAUAAUAGGCAGGGGUAGAGGUUGCAUAAUCGAGAAUUGCUUCUUGAAAAUAUCCUUCACUAUAUUUUUCAAUGUUGCUAGCUCAUUGUGACUGAGCUCAAAGAAGGAGCCUGGACACUCUCCAACUUUCCUAUUA
rnacentral:lncRNA from 1 species